rnacentral:rRNA from 1 species
CCUACGGGGGGCAGCAGUGGGGAAUAUUGCACAAUGGGGGAAACCCUGAUGCAGCGACGCCGCGUGAGUGAAGAAGUAUUUCGGUACGUAAAGCUCUAUCAGCAGGGAAGAAAAUGACGGUACCUGACUAAGAAGCCCCGGCUAACUACGUGCCAGCAGCCGCGGUAAUACGUAGGGGGAAAGCGUUAUCCGGAUUUACUGGGGGUAAAGGGAGCGUAGACGGCAGCGCAAGUCUGGAGUGAAAUCCCAUGGCUUAACCAUGGAACUGCUUUGGAGACUGUGCAGCUAGAGUGCAGGAGAGGUAAGCGGAAUUCCUAGUGUAGCGGUGAAAUGCGUAGAUAUUAGGAGGAACACCAGUGGCGAAGGCGGCUUACUGGACUGUAACUGACGUUGAGGCUCGAAAGCGUGGGGAGCAAACAGGAUUAGAUACCCGGGUAGUC